GGCUCUCUCUCCCCAGGGGACUCUGCAACCUGACUAGGUGCUCCUUCCCUGAGGUGUGUGCUCGACAAAGGUUGCUGAAAAAGUUCACGUUGAAAUUUUUUUUGAUGAUAAUAUCGUGUUACUCAUUUCCUUUGUUUCUUAGCAUAGUAACAUUCCAGGGAGCUGCCCGGGGAAGCUUAACGCUCGAUGCGGGUGGUAGGAAUGUAUCAUGGUGGGAGAGUCAUGGCAGCAGGCAGCUGGAACAGGACACUAAGUAAGAACACCUUCAACUACAAGCAGAAGUCAAGGAGAACUGAAAGUGACAACUGGAACCUUGAGAGCCAAGGGAGAUUGUGGAGAGGAUGUGAGCAGAUGGCCGCUGAGGAUAGCUGACCGGGUGGGUGGGCUGGAACCUAGGCCAGGACCUGCCACCUGAGGAUUGUGCCUGCGAUGUCCAUAUGAUUGUGAACAGCUAAACAGGGAGCUCUGCUCUGUUGAAAAUCAUAAAGUUGAAAAUGAAAAGAGAUAAAACCUUAAGCACAGAAGAAUAUUUUGUCUUUGGUGAAAAGAACAACUUAAGAUUAAUUUUAUUUUUAUGCUGUAUAUGCGUGUGGGUAUGUGCAUGCAAAUUUGGGUGACUCCAAAGGUCAGAGCAUCAAAUCACUUGGAGCUGGGAUUAUAGGCAAAUGAAAGCUGCCAAGCAUAGGAAUCUAACGAAUGUCCUCUGUAUGAGCAGAGAGUACUCCUUACUGCAGAGCCAUGUUUCCAGCUUAAGGAGGGCUUUUAGAAAGAAGAUUGAUAGAGAAUACAUACUUAAUAGUUUGAUGUACUAAAAAGGUUAAUUUUUAUUCACUAUAGACACUAGAAAUAAUAUUUACAAUUUAUAUAAUGCAUGUGAUUAUAGAACUAGAAGUAACAAUAUUAAAUAUAAAUAAAUUAUUGUAAGUCAGAUAAGAGAGAUGGAAACCCCAGUAGGAAAAACCCAUUAAAGUAACUAAAAUGUGGACAAA
rnacentral:lncRNA from 1 species